GACGAACGCUGGCGGCGUGCUUAACACAUGCAAGUCGAACGGUGAAGCGCCUUCCUUUUGGUGGGUGUGGAUGAGUGGCGAACGGGUGAGUAACACGUGAGUAACCUGCCCCCUUCUUCUGGAUAACCGCAUGAAAGUGUGGCUAAUACGGGAUAUUCUGGGUCUGUCGCAUGAUGGGUCUGGGAAAGAUAUUGUUUCGGUGGGGGAUGGGCUCGCGGCCUAUCAGCUUGUUGGUGGGGUGAUGGCCUACCAAGGCGGUGACGGGUAGCCGGCCUGAGAGGGUGGACGGUCACACUGGGACUGAGACACGGCCCAGACUCCUACGGGAGGCAGCAGUGGGGAAUAUUGCACAAUGGGCGCAAGCCUGAUGCAGCGACGCCGCGUGAGGGAUGGAGGCCUUCGGGUUGUGAACCUCUUUCGCCAGUGAAGCAGGCCUGCCUCGUUUGUGGGUGGGUUGACGGUAGCUGGAUAAGAAGCGCCGGCUAACUACGU
rnacentral:rRNA from 1 species